AAAGCUCGUAGUUGGAUUUCUGUGGGGACGGAGCGGCCGGCCGCUACUAGCGGUUCGAGCUAGCGCUUUCCCUACAUCCUGCCGCGAACCGUGCUACCAUUAGUUUGGUGGCGCCGGGGAUCGGCUCGUUUACUUUGAGAAAAAUAGAGUGUUCAAAGCAGGCCACACGCCCUGAAUAAGUUAGCAUGGAAUAAUAACUAAGGACUUCGGUUCUAUUUUGUUGGUGUUCGGGACUGAAGUAAUGAUUGAUAGGGACAGUUGGGGCGGUCCGUAUUCC
rnacentral:rRNA from 1 species